UACGUAGGUGGCAAGCGUUGUCCGGAUUUACUGGGCGUAAAGAGCGCGCAGGCGGUCGUUCAAGUCGCGUGUGAAAGCCCCCGGCUCAACUGGGGAGGGUCACGCGAUACUGAUCGACUCGAAGGCAGGAGAGGGUAGUGGAAUUCUCGGUGUAGCGGUGAAAUGCGUAGAUAUCGAGAGGAACACCUGCGGCGAAGGCGGGUUGCUGGGCUGACACUGA
rnacentral:rRNA from 1 species